rnacentral:lncRNA from 1 species
GUGGAGCAGGAUCUGCUUACCCUUCCGGAGCACCUGAAAUCACCCCUAGUUUUUGGUGGGGUUCGUGUUGUUUAUUCUUUAGUUUUCUAUGUUAUGUCAUGUGUACUAUUGUUUUUCUGUUUGUCUUUUUCAUUUUUAGCCAUGGCGUUGUCAGUUUGUUUUCGAUUUAUGAGUUUGACUGUCCCUUUGGUAUCUUUUGUCCCUCUUUUAAG